AAAAGGGGCUUCUGCCGUGAACGGCACAUGGAGGGCAGUUUGCUUGCUCUAUGUGUGGAAUGGACAUCAAGAGAUUUCAGAAGCAGAAUUUUUUUGGCAGUAGGGCAGCUAGUGAUUGUUGGGUUUAGUGCUCCC